UACAGAGGUCUCAAGCGUUGUUCGGAUUCAUUGGGCGUAAAGGGUGCGUAGGCGGCGCGGUAAGUCGGGUGUGAAAUCUUGGAGCUUAACUCCGAAACUGCAUUCGAUACUGCCGUGCUUGAGGACUGGAGAGGAGACUGGAAUUUACGGUGUAGCGGUGAAAUGCGUAGAUAAUCUGCAGGAACACCCUGGCGAAAGCGGCGCGCUG
rnacentral:rRNA from 1 species